rnacentral:rRNA from 1 species
AUCUAUAACCAUACCACACUGAGUGUGCCCAAUCUUGUCUGCCCUCAGAAGCUAAGUAGGGUUGGGCCUGGCUAGUACUGGAUA